rnacentral:rRNA from 1 species
GUUAGCGGCGGACGGGUGAGUAACACGUGGGUAACCUGCCUGUAAGACUGGGAUAACUCCGGGAAACCGGGGCUAAUACCGGAUGCUUGUUUGAACCGCAUGGUUCAAACAUAAAAGGUGGCUUCGGCUACCACUUACAGAUGGACCCGCGGCGCAUUAGCUAGUUGGUGAGGUAAUGGCUCACCAAGGCAACGAUGCGUAGCCGACCUGAGAGGGUGAUCGGCCACACUGGGACUGAGACACGGCCCAGACUCCUACGGGAGGCAGCAGUAGGGAAUCUUCCGCAAUGGACGAAAGUCUGACGGAGCAACGCCCCGUGAGUGAUGAAGGUUUUCGGAUCGUAAAGCUCUGUUGUUAGGGAAGAACAAGUACCGUUCGAAUAGGGCGGUACCUUGACGGUACCUAACCAGAAAGCCACGGCUAACUACGUGCCAGCAGCCGCGGUAAUACGUAGGUGGCAAGCGUUGUCCGGAAUUAUUGGGCGUAAAGGGCUCGCAGGCGGUUUCUUAAGUCUGAUGUGAAAGCCCCCGGCUCAACCGGGGAGGGUCAUUGGAAACUGGGGAACUUGAGUGCAGAAGAAGAGAGUGGAAUUCCACGUGUAGCGGUGAAAUGCGUAAAGAUGUGGAAGAACACCAGUGGCGAAUGCGACUCUGUGGUCUGUAAGGUGACACUUACGAGUGAAAUCGCGGGGAGCGAACACGAUUACGAUA